AGCCUGGGACAUGGACAAACCCGAGCUUACGUUUUCUGAAAAAGGCACAGCGGAGAGAGGCACACAGAGCAGAGGAGGAAGAAAUGCUAGAAGAGGACAUUCCAGACCUUCAGCAACAGAAUCACGAGUUGGACAGCGUGAUAAGAGAGGAAAGAAUGUUCCCGUGGUUAGCAGUAAAGUGAAAGGAAAGGACCGUUUGACCGGCCGAGCCAGGAGAUGGGAUGCUAAAGAGGAAGCAGAGCAAUUACAGUUGGGGCCAGACACCAGCUUGGUGGAGUUUUUGGAGGAGCUGGAUGCUCUGUGUGAUCCUGAGUUCAACAGUAACAGUCCAGACACCGAGACCCAAGAAGCGGAAUCCACAGCAUCUGUGGAGACAGCUACAACCACCAGCUGUGUUUCUGCAGAUACAAUAAAGAGUCAGGUUAUUCCUUUAGACUCAGCCAACAAGAACACCUCCAACUCUAGAGGAGCUGAGAAGAAGGUCCGUUUUUUAGAAGACCUCAUUCAGGAGUUUUCGAGAAGAACUCGAACACAGAUACGACAGAGAUCAAAGCCAGUUCUUUAAUAUACAUACAACAGACCAAAACAGUGCUUGGAGAGCAAGAUGCCCAACAGGACUUGGGUCAUGAUCAAGAAGGAAUGAAAAACAACCAGGUCACAGGCAUUCUUCUCACAGAUCCCCAAGCCAAAACAACAGACCAGUUUGAUUCCCAAGAGACAAGCAUUAAAGAACCGAAACCCAACGCCUGAGAACUUCCUAAAGGAAGAACCUGAGAGCAAAUCUGAACAAUCACCUUGUGAUAUUGUUGGUUCUCAAAACGGCCACUGAUGCCACAGCUUCUACUGAACAGAAACUGCUUCACAUGACGGAGGCUCUGAAGAAUAACACCUCCAGAAAUACUGAUGAACUGAUUGACUCCAGUCUCUCAGUACUGAGUUUGGAGUCUGGAGAUUCUCUGCCUGUCCACAGCACCAGCACUGAAAAGGCAAGAGAGAACGGGAAAGUAGUUUAGAUGGCGUCUUCUUUCAUGGUCACUUCUGUUCGAGAUGGAAGACAGAAACCAAACAAAGCAAAAGGCUACACUGCAGUUUGCCUGUUUUAGUCUGUUCCCAGCGCAAGAAUGGUUAGUUUGAGAACUAAUAGGAAUUCACACCAUGAAGAGGUAGUGGGCAGUAUGGUGUUCUAAGAUCAUUAGUUUUAAUACUCAGUUUUAAUGAUGCCCAGUGGCUCAGUUACGUC
ensembl:lncRNA